UACGUAGGUGGCGAGCGUUGUCCGGAUUUAUUGGGUUUAAAGGGCUCGUAGGCGGCCAACUAAGUCAGACGUGAAAUCCCUCGGCUUAACCGGGGAACUGCGUCUGAUACUGGAUGGCUUGAGUUUGGGAGAGGGAUGCGGAAUUCCAGGUGUAGCGGUGAAAUGCGUAGAUAUCUGGAGGAACACCGGUGGCGAAGGCGGCAUCCUGGACCAACACUGACGCUGAGUGAGCGAAAGCCAGGGGAGCAAACGGG
rnacentral:rRNA from 1 species